GGAGUCCAGCGUGCGCGCGAGUCAUUGGGUUGCUAAUGCUAAACCUAAAGGCAAAAUGAAAGUGAAAGCGUGCUUAGAGCACGCCGAGGGAAGAUGGGCGGGCCUUCGAGCUCGCCUCGCAUUCCCGGGGCGUCCCUUCUUCGUUUCGGCGAAGAUGGGCGCACCUAAGAGCGCGCACGCUGGGACCCGAAAGAUGGUGAACUAUGCCUGGUCAGGACGAAGUCAGGGGAAACCCUGAUGGAGGUCCGCAGCGAUUCUGACGUGCAAAUCGAUCGUCGGAACUGGGUAUAGGGGCGAAAGACUAAUCGAACCAUCUAGUAGCUGGUUCCUUCCGAAGUUUCCCUCAGGAUAGCUGGCGCACGCAGGUGCGAGUUUCAUCCGGUAAAGCGAAUGAUUAGAGGCAUUGGGGACGAAACGUCCUCAACCUAUUCUCAAACUUUAAAUGGGUGAGAUCUUCGGCUUUCUUAACUUUAUCGGCUUCGGCCUUUAAUCGCAAUGAAGCCGCAAGUAUCGAAUCCGUGUGCCAAGUGGGCCAUUUUUGGUAAGCAGAACUGGCGAUGUGGGAUGAACCGAACGUAAAGUUAAAGCGCCUAACUUAACGCUCAUUAGAUACCAUGAAAGGCGUUGGUAACUUAAGACAGCAGGACGGUGGCCAUGGAAGUC
rnacentral:rRNA from 1 species